UAAAACAGAUAUUCAUAUACAAAUACCAAAUUGCCCUCUCAAAAGUAAUUUGGUGUUUAUGGUCUCUCUCUUCACUCAAAACAGAGAGAAAGACAAUAAGGGAGAGAGGGACAGAGUACGGAAAUGGUGACUCUGCACCGUCUAGAUUUCUGGAGAGCAAAUGCAUCUGCUGUGGAACCAAACUGGUAGCGUCCCCUUUUUCUAUCCAUGUAGUAUUAAGUAGCUUAUGAUAAGUAAUUUCUAAUUUUUGUUUUUCUUCUGUGUUGUGUUUGAGCUUUGUGUUGGAAAAUGUUAAUUCCUUCCAUGUCUCUGUCUUUGGAUUAUGCUUUAAAUGAUUCAUUACAUAUGUUAAUUUUUCUUUAGUGGUUUAUUGUCCAAUUAUGCCUAGCGAGUUCUGUUCUGUGAUAUGCAAAUGAGGAUUUGAGUAACGAAAGGCAAGAAUAUUGAUUCUUAAACAACUGCCCUAUUAUGAGCUGAAUGAAUUAUUUCAUGUUUUUAAAUGCAAUUAAUAUGCAAUUAGCUGUGGUGUAGUUAUGAAUUUGAUGAUUUAUUGGUUACAAUUUGUUUAAAUAUUGCUCAUUCAACUUUUUGUUACAAGUUUUGGGUGAAGGAAGAAACUUGAGGAUUAUUUUUGUAGUCAAUCUCUCCAAAAAAAUUUGUGGAAGUUGUAAAUUCUUAUAAAUGGCUUAUAACACUUGUGUUAUCCCACAUUGGUUUGGGAUAAGGUAUUUCAACAUAUAAGACUCGAACAAUCCUCCUCCCCUUGAUCUAGCUUUUGGGGAGUGAGUUAGGCCCUGGUCUAUUUUAUUAAUAGGUAUCAUAGCCUACCAUACUUCAAUUCAUGCUCAAUGUUCACUUUUAGCUUUUUCACUUUCCUCAUUUUCCUCUUUCAUGACUUACUGGAAUUUGUUUCCUUCAAGUUCAGAAUUUUUUAUUUUGUCCAUGCUUGUUUAACUUCCCUUUUUGUUACUAUUUCCUUGAUCAAUAAAUAUGAAUAUUUACUUUCUCCAUAAGUUUUGAGAACCUAAAAUACAUAGCUUGGACUUUGAUGUGGGGUUCAUUUUUAAUUACCUGUAUUUCUUUAAUUCCGAGUAGGUGGUUUUUUAUUGUUAAUCUCAACCUGUAUUCCCUUGCUUGAAGCAGUUGUGAGAAUGAUUUCUGGUGGAGUUUUUAAAGCAGUUCUUUAUGAAUUUAUCAUGAAGGAGAUUUUUUUUUUCUGUAGUUUGCUCAAUUGCAUUGAUAUCCUGCUUCCUUUGAUGUUGAUUUUGUCUGCAGUAUAGGUUCCAUGCCCUUCAAAAAAUUUUUUGAUACAAUAUUUUUUCCCUUUGUUUCUGAAAUAUCCUUCUGUUAUGAGACUUAGGUUUUUACCUCAUUUAGUACAUAAAUUUGCCCAAAAACACUCUUUCAGCAUGAAUAGAUGCCAAUGAGCUUCUUUAAUAGUAUGAACCUAGACAAUUAUAGCCAUGGCCAGCUCUUAUUCUUAAAUAGAUAUUGUUUUUCUUUGGCUUAGAAUUGAGGGUGAGAUUUUAUAAAUAUGAAGGUAAUCAUGGAUUCAUGGUCCCAACUUUCACUAUGCACUUAUUUGUUAGAGUUGAUUGAUAGGCUGAGAACAUUGUUGUUCCCAGAAAAUAGAAAAGAAACUGUGUCAGGCCUGUUUUCUAAGACAUGGAGGUCAUAGGAGUUGAUUUGCUGCCGUUUUGUGUCAUUUUCUUGAGCAGGUGGUCAGAAGUAUUUUGCUUGUUUCUUUCCUUAGUAAAGUAAAAAAUAAGUGUCUCUGAAGGAAGUUUCCGAGUGGGAGACAUACUAUCGUCAUUGCUGCUUGAAAGUGAAGGGAAAAAAAAAAAUGCAGUUAAGAGUACCAACUUGUUAGAAUCUUCCAAGUUGAUGUGUCCUCAUGGAAUCUGAGUCUGGUGGUAUCAUGUUCCCUGCUCUAACCAAACUAUUUGGGAACAUGAAAAUCAAUUCCAAUUCUAUAGCCUAAGGAGAUGUGGACCAACCAAUAUUUUUAAAAUUUUGUUUUUAUAGAGACACAUAACUACCAUCUCAAGAAAGUGAAAGAGAGAUUGCUGGAAACGUGAUAAAGCUAAGGAUAUUCUGCAGUUCUGUUGCUUUUUUAUUUUGAAUUAUCGGUCCAAAAUUUUCUGGCAUACUGAAUUUUUUUUUAUUCUCAAUUUACUUUACAGAACUUGUAUUCCCAUUUGUUAUAAUGGGAAAGCUUAAAGUGGAUUCUUCAAUCUUAGGGUCAUAUGUACUCUUAAUUCCAUGUAGCUGAUUAAUUCGACAAAUGAAAGAUGCUAAUUCCAUUUUC